rnacentral:rRNA from 1 species
AAAGAAACCAACCGGGAUUGCCUCAGUAACGGCGAGUGAAGCGGCAAGAGCUCAAAUUUGAAAGCUGGCUCCUUCGGAGUCCGCAUUGUAAUUUGCAGAGGAUGCUUUGGGUGCGGCCCCCGUCUAAGUGCCCUGGAACGGGCCGUCAGAGAGGGUGAGAAUCCCGUCUUGGGCGGGGUGUCCGUGCCCGUGUAAAGCUCCUUCGACGAGUCGAGUUGUUUGGGAAUGCAGCUCUAAAUGGGUGGUAAAUUUCAUCUAAAGCUAAAUACUGGCCGGAGACCGAUAGCGCACAAGUAGAGUGAUCGAAAGAUGAAAAGCACUUUGAAAAGAGAGUUAAACAGCACGUGAAAUUGUUGAAAGGGAAGCGCUUGCGACCAGACUCGCCCGCGGGGUUCAGCCGGCAUUCGUGCCGGUGUACUUCCCCGUGGGCGGGCCAGCGUCGGUUUGGGCGGCCGGUCAAAGGCCCCUGGAAUGUAGUACCCUCCGGGGUACCUUAUAGCCAGGGGUGCAAUGCGGCCAGCCUGGACCGAGGAACGCGCUUCGGCACGGACGCUGGCAUAAUGGUCGUAAACGAC